rnacentral:rRNA from 1 species
AUGGGUGGAAUUUAUCAUGAGAUCCUACCCAAAUCCGAGUACUUCUCCAAGGCACUGUACACCUUCCAUUUCGCCCAAAACGAUCUCUCUGUGGGCUACUUCACCAAUAAGACUACCAAACAGAUUGAGGCCUAUGACCCCGAUCCUAAGGAGCGGUUCACUGUGGCAAUGCAGAAACUCCGCGGAAAGCUGCUGCAGAUAGGUGUUGUGCUGGUAUAUUCUUUCUGUAGCCUUUGUUCAGCAAAUGCCAAAAUAGUGUUUCUUUCAUGCGCACAUCGUUUCGUUUGGAGUUUUGCCCACUUGAUCUGA